UACGUAGGGUGCAAGCGUUGUCCGGAAUUAUUGGGCGUAAAGAGCUCGUAGGCGGUUUGUCGCGUCUGCUGUGAAAACUCGGGGCUUAACCCCGGGCCUGCAGUGGGUACGGGCAGACUAGAGUGCGGUAGGGGAGACUGGAAUUCCUGGUGUAGCGGUGAAAUGCGCAGAUAUCAGGAGGAACACCGGUGGCGAAGGCAGCAAACUGGGCAUCAACUGACGCUGAGGCGCGAAAGCGUGGGUAGCAAACAGG
rnacentral:rRNA from 1 species